UACGGAGGAUCCAAGCGUUAUCCGGAUUUAUUGGGUUUAAAGGGUGCGUAGGCGGCCUGUUAAGCCAGGGGUGAAAGACGGUGGCUCAACCAUCGCAGUGCCCUUGAUACUGACGGGCUUGAAUGGACUAGAGGUAGGCGGAAUGAGACAAGUAGCGGUGAAAUGCAUAGAUAUGUCUCAGAACACCGAUUGCGAAGGCAGCUUACUAUGGUCUUAUUGACGCUGAGGCACGAAAGCGUGGGGAUCAAACAGG
rnacentral:rRNA from 1 species